GAUGAACGCUAGCGGCAUGCCUAACACAUGCAAGUCGAACGAGACCUUCGGGUCUAGUGGCGCACGGGUGCGUAACGCGUGGGAACCUGCCUUUAGGUUCGGAAUAACAGUGAGAAAUUACUGCUAAUACCGGAUGAUGUCUUCGGACCAAAGAUUUAUCGCCUUUAGAUGGGCCCGCGUUGGAUUAGCUAGUUGGUGGGGUAAAGGCCUACCAAGGCGACGAUCCAUAGCUGGUCUGAGAGGAUGAUCAGCCACACUGGGACUGAGACACGGCCCAGACUCCUACGGGAGGCAGCAGUGGGGAAUAUUGGACAAUGGGCGAAAGCCUGAUCCAGCAAUGCCGCGUGAGUGAUGAAGGCCUUAGGGUUGUAAAGCUCUUUUACCCGAGAUGAUAAUGACAGUAUCGGGAGAAUAAGCUCCGGCUAACUCCGUG
rnacentral:rRNA from 1 species